rnacentral:lncRNA from 1 species
UGACAUACAAUUUCUAAAGUUAAUGUUUUAUUUAAAGAACAACAAAAGAACCAAACUACAGCAAAAUGACUCACUAAAUAGGGGAAGCCCCAGAAGCACUGAGUGAGACAGAUUGAAGAUGUUUGGAAACAAAUCAACCUCCUAACCACUAUGUCUUUACAGUGUUUACCUUUUUUCCAUAUUGCUUUGAAAAUCAGCAUUUUUCAGUUCAAGUAAAACUCCAGUCUGUCUCACUACAAGCUUUCCUUUUCACUUUUCAGGAAAGUCUCUUACCUGAAACUCUGAGACCUGAUUUGGGACUGCUUCCCUUUUUAGACAGGACACUUUUUUUGAGUAUCCUGUUUUCUCUCUGCCAGUACCGACACCCCAGAAAGUUUUCCAGAACCCAUCAAGUUCAUUUGGGCUACUGUGGAAGAAAUCUUUCUCUUUGUCCUGCUUUUCAGGAGAAAAUGCUUCAGGAUUCAUUGGCUCAGACAAGAAAAUUGAUGGAUAAUGUGUUACUUGUGAUCUUUGUUUUUCUUGAUGCUUGAAUGGGAAGACAACAUAUUGUCAGCUUUUUAAAGGUGAGUUCUAACUCUGGAGCUUUUAGAGAAAGCUUUAGAAUGGAGAGACUUAAAAACAUGGAGGG